CAGCAGCGGGGUAGGCGGCCGAGUCUCCCAGGCCACGGACCUGUAUUUCCCGGCAGCCUCUGCGUGGGCAGCAGCGGGGUAGGCGGCCGAGUCUCCCAGGCCACGGACCUGUAUUUCCCGGCAGCCUCUGCGUGGGCAGCAGCGGGGUAGGCGGCCGAGUCUCCCGGGCCAGGGACCUGUAUUUCCCGGCAACCUCUGCGUGGGCAGCAGCGGGGUAGGCGGCCGAGUCUCCCGGGCCACGGACCUGUAUUUCCCGGCAACCUCUGCGUGGGCAGCAGCGGGAUAGGCGGCCGAGUCUCCCGGGCCACGGACCUGUAUUUCCCGGCAGCCUCUGUGUGGGCAGCAGCGGCAUAGGCGGCCGAGUCUCCCGGGCCACGGACCUGUAUUUCCAGGCAGCCUCUGCAGUGGGCAGCAGCGGGGUAGGCGGCCGAGUCUCCCGGGCCACGGACCUGUAUUUCCAGGCAGCCUCUGCAGUGGGCAGCAGCGGGGUAGGUGGCCGAGUCUCCCGGGCCACGGACCUGUAUUUCCCGGCAGCCUCUGUGUGGGCAGCAGCGGGAUAGGCGGCCGAGUCUCCCGGGCCACGGACCUGUAUUUCCCGGCAGCCUCUGUGUGGGCAGCAGCGGGAUAGGCGGCCCAGUCUCCCGGGCCACGGACCUGUAUUUCCCUGCAGCCUCUGUGUGGGCAGCAGCGGGAUAGGCGGCCGAGUCUCCCGGGCCACGGACCUGUAUUUCCCGGCAGCCUCUGCAGUGGGCAGCAGCGGGAUAGGCGGCCGAGUUUCCCAGGCCCCGGACGGGACAGAUUGGAUCGCACCUGUCACAGCCACGCUCUGGAAUAGCGAGGGCCCAGCGUCCCCAGGCCCAGGGUGAGGAGAAUCCCUGCCACACUGUGUCUGGAAUUGGUGGGUUCUUGGUCUCACUGACUUCAAGAAUGAAGCCGCGGACCCUCACG
rnacentral:lncRNA from 1 species